GAUUAAUUUUCUUGGGUAAUUACUGAGGCACAUAUCUCUAAGGAAAUUCUGUUAUGGGAGGAAAAAGACAUUACUUGCAGGUUGGUGGGGGACCCCACAAAACUGGCACAUGUUUGACAGAAAUGAAUUGUCUUUGGCAGCUGUCUGAGCAAACAGGUACAAGUUUUCUAGGGCAUUGUGUAAAGAAAAUGCUGCCACAAAUCACAACAAAUCAUGAUCAUACCCACUGAAGCAUUUGGAGGGGAAACAACAGAUGUCUGGAGAUGUCACAGAGACCUGUUUAUGAAGAUGCUAAAAACAUUUUUUCAAAUUAUAUUAGUUCAGACUGAAUUAGAUAAAUAAA